CAUCUACGCGGUUUGGUAUUCAUUUUAAUGAUAAGUGUAGAAUUGCGGUGAUUUUUCCUUAUUGAUCCAUAAUAUAGUUGUACGAAGGGGAAUAUAAGUAGCAACCCGAAGUAGGUAUUCUCCUAUAGGGAAUAUAGUGUUACCUAUCACAAAACAGUUUAUAGCUGAACCUCAUUCCUCAAUUCAACAGUAGCUCUAUUUAUACUCCU